rnacentral:rRNA from 1 species
CAAUAGCGUAUAUUAAAGUUGUUGCAGUUAAAAAGCUCGUAGUUGGAUUUCUGGUCGGAAGCUCCUGUCCUCUGAUGAGCGUACAAGUGUGUCCUACCAUCCUUCUGUUAACCUUUAAGGCUUUCGCGGCUUUCUAGGGGCUCAGAUAUUUUACCUUGAGAAAAUUAGAGUGUUUCAGGCAGGCUAGCGCCGGAAUACAUUAGCAUGGAAUAAUGGAAUAGGACUUUUGCCUCUUCUGUUGGUCAUGAGGCUCGAGUAAUGAUUAAUAGGGAUAGUUGGGGGCAUUAGUACUUAACUGUCAGAGGUGAAAUUCUCGGAUUUGUUAAAGACUAACUUAUGCGAAAGCAUUUGCCAAGGAUGUUUNCAUUAA